ensembl:lncRNA
CAGAACUACAGUCACCCUAACAUUGUGAGAAUAGAUAAUUUCCCUGCAAAUGUUAGCUCACAUGCUCACAGUGUCAUUUUUAAAACAGUUUCCACAACAUAUCAAGUCUAGUAAGUAAGUAAAGAAAGGCUACAGUUAUCUCAGGUAAAAUGUGUAACUCUCAAAGUCUGACUUAAUGAAUGAACCCUGAAUUAAGUAAACUACAGACACUGCACCUUUGACCCAUUUGUGUCAAUGACAGCAGAAAGAGGAAUUCAUUAGCUGUGAGAGUGCACUUUAGAGUCAGGGCUGUGUCAUUUUCCCUGUCUCCGAGCUGUCCCGCUGCUGCACAUCGCUGUGGGAACAUCAAAGGUAUUCGCUGGGUAUUUUCAGGUGGGGAGCCUGCAGGGCUUUAGGUGGUUCAGUGGGAGUUUGGAAGAAUUGUGUUUAUCUCUCCUUUACUUGAGACCCUUUUGCAGUCAGUGGCUCCCAAAAUGUCCCUGACUGGAGAGCAUCAGUGUGUUAAAAAGGCCUUCUGACAGCGGCGCUGCUCUCUUCUCUGUCACGCCGUGUGCCCGCUCGCCUGUACGCCUCUGGCACUGUCCGGUCUACUGCGUCCAAUAAUGCACCCUACAUAGAGCCAGGAAAACACUACAGGACACAGCACGCACUUCCUAUAGCACACAGAGCACCACACUGCCAAACAUAGCCACUUACUAAGCAUGCUCCAAUACUGCGCAAGUUUAAUAACCAAGUGCAUUAAAAAUGAAGACUUCCAUUUUGAGCUCUGCUAGUGUCUGUCACAAAAUGAGCUCACAAAUACACAGCCAUUCACGUGUUUGUAGUUACCAAAGAUGGCCACCUCCAGAUAUCCAAAUUGCUCUGCCUCUUGUAUUUGUGCUUGUGUAUAUGAGCAGAUCCAUCCUCUGAUAAAUCAUGUUUACCUAUUUGGCACUUCAACAAUGUGCCAAACCAACCAAGCAGUUAACAGUGCUUUUCAGUGCCAGGAGAAGCCCAUUGCUUCAAAUGGAAAUGAAAAUGAGAGCAGAUGGAGAGAUAUAUGGAGGAUGAGAAAGAUCGCAGCGUGAGAUAAUGGGAGGAGCAGUGGCGGAAAAACAAGUGAUGAAAUCAGGUCCGUGCUAUGAUCAAGAUAAGUCGUAUUUGGCACUACAGGUAAAGGUGUUCCAAAUAGUAUGACUACACACUGUGUGCUGCUGUUCACAAAACAACCCAAUCCUCAUUGCUUAGCAGAGCCAAACAGGAAAUCAAUGUUGCCCCAAUGUUGCCACUCUCUGAAUCCUGUGCGAGUGUGUAUGCAUGAAAGAGAUGCCCACUAGCCAGAGGUAAUGUCAAGCCAUUUUUUUUUUCUAAUCCAGCUCCAGGCUUCCUAUCUGCAAAUCAAUGUUGCCACUCCCUCUUAGCUCUCAAGCCAAUCCAUCUAGUGAGCUAUAGCGUAGCAAAACAGGUCAGAAAACACAACAGCCUGGAUCAAACCAAAUGAAAAAUCACUUUAUU